rnacentral:SRP_RNA from 1 species
UCGUGCUAGAUGGGGAGGUAGCGGUGCCCUGAACCCGCAAUCCGCUAAAGCGGGGUUGAAUUCCCAUCAGAGGUCUCCCGUUUUAGGAGCUGUCUCAAGCAGGAGGGUGUUGAAGGCUGGGUCCCGUGCGGCAGAGAGCUGUGAACCCCGCCAGGCCCGGAAGGGAGCAACGGUAAGCAGUAAUCUCUGGGUGCCACGGGGGUGCUUGGCUGGAGCCUGACGUUGGGAAACGUCCUGGGAUGGGGGAUCGAAGAUGGGUGCACGA